rnacentral:tRNA from 1 species
GAGGGUAUAGCUCAGUGGUAGAGCAUGCACAAGGUCCUAGGUUCAAUCCCCAGUACUGCCA